UGGGGAAUAUUGGACAAUGGGCGCAAGCCUGAUCCAGCCAUGCCGCGUGAGUGAUGAAGGCCCUAGGGUUGUAAAGCUCUUUCACCGGUGAAGAUAAUGACGGUAACCGGAGAAGAAGCCCCGGCUAACUUCGUGCCAGCAGCCGCGGUAAUACGAAGGGGGCUAGCGUUGUUCGGAUUUACUGGGCGUAAAGUGCACGUAGGCGGACUUUUAAGUCAGGGGUGAAAUCCCGGGGCUCAACCCCGGAACUGCCUUUGAUACUGGAAGUCUUGAGUAUGGUAGAGGUGAGUGGAAUUCCGAGUGUAGAGGUGAAAUUCGUAGAUAUUCGGAGGAACACCAGUGGCGAAGGCGACUCACUGGACCAUUACUGACGCUGAGGUGCGAAAGCGUGGGGAGCAAACAGG
rnacentral:rRNA from 1 species